ensembl:lncRNA
GUCAAAUACAUGAACACAACAACGUGUAGCUAUGAAUGGAGAGGGAUGCUUUAAGAAAACACCGAAACGCAGCACUUUGACCUGAACAAACUAGAACAUUCAUCGGUAUGUAAUAAUGUACAUGGUUGUAAACAGGGUUGACGGGGGGGUUCGAUUCCAUUUCAAAUCAGAAAGUUAAAACCAAAUUACAAUUCCAAAUGUUUCCUCAUUAAAAAGCAUUGACGAUUGUUGAAAUUCCAAUUUUUCCUUCCUGAAUUGAAAUGGAAUUUACCCCCAACCUUGGUUGUAAACUAAUAGAUGUCCACUCUGGGCCACCGUAGUAGUGGACAUAAGAGCCUGGAGUUACUACUGACCCCUUGACCUGACCAGGUAGGCAUAUUUAACAGCUGUUUGGCUGUUGUUUGGCAGACCAGGUUCAUUCAUAUACCAAAUCAAUUCCUUUCCUUUUUAAGACAACACUGACCGGUGUCUAAGAGCAUUGGGCUUAAUAUAAAGGAGACUGGGGCUGCAUGGGAGAUAUCUCAAUCCACUACACUGGCUUCCUUCUUUCAUCUCCUUUCCUUCAUGAUAGGUGAGAGAGGCUUUCACCAUAUGUUGCUUCCACCUGCCAGAUCAGAGAUCACGAAGGAGAAGUACAAUGAAAGGAAGCACGCUUACACUAUUGAGACAGCCCAGGUCCUGUAUCUAGAUUGGGGAAGUAACCUAUUAUACUCACUACUUAAAUAAACACAUUUUUAAAAAAGAAUUUGCAAGGCACAGUGAAAUUUACAACUGGUAAACAUCAGUUACCUAGACAUCAUUAAAUCCAGUAGGUUUCUAGUAAUAUGGCCUAACGACAGAUUCUAAUUUGGUCCAAAAGGAUAGACAAGUUUGAGUGCAUUUGCAGCAAACAGAUGACAUAUCUUAACCUUUAGACAGUACCAGGUCAUAUCUUAACCUUUAGACAGUACCAGGUCAUAUCUUAACCUUUAGACAGUACCAGGUCAUAUCUUAACCUUUAGACAGUACCAGGUCAUAUCUUAACCUUUAGACAGUACCAGGUCAUAUCUUAACCUUUAGACAGUACCAGGUCAUCUCUUAACCUUUAGACAGUACCAGGUCAUCUCUUAACCUUUAGACAGUACCAGGUCAUGUCUUAACCUUUAGACAGUACCAGGUCAUCUCCAUUGGCAAUCCAAUUGUGAAAGAUCUGUAUUUCUUGACCGGAGUGUUGAGGGUUAAUUGAUAAUCCCGGAUGUUGUUUGGAGUAAAAGGGUGAACGUGAGUUGAUGUACAAAUUGGUGAUCUUUCCAAGACCACUGGUAUAGAGAAAUAUACAUUACCAUUGUUAUCGUCAUAACUAAACUGAAAUGUGUUGCUUUAAAAAAAAACUAAAUUACAUAUUUAAGUAAUAUGCAAUAAUACCAAAACAUCAACCAUGUACUUUUCAAUUCAUAAUGAAACUCACAGAAGAUACCACUUCACAUGUUUCAGCAUUUAAAAGCAAAACAUGUAGAAUAGUAUAAUAGUCCCAUCAUACAAAGACUAACAUUAAGCUGAGACAAAAACCUGCUGAACAAAACAUGAAGCACUGACAGACAGAGAGAACAUGAAGCACUGAGAGAGAGAGAACAUGAAGCACUGACAGACAGAGAGAACAUGAAGCACUGACAGAGAGAGAGA